AGCAGCCGCGGUAAUUCCAGCUCCAAUAGCGUAUAUUAAAGUUGUUGCAGUUAAAAAGCUCGUAGUUGAAUUUCGGGGUCAAUACGUCGGUCGUGCCUCCGGUACGUACUGACGUCGUUGAUUCCUCCUUUCUGAUGAGCCACGAUGUCAUUAAUUUGGUGUUGUGGGGAGUCAGGACUGUUACUUUGAAAAAAUUAGAGUGUUUAAAGCAGGCAAACGCUUGAAUACAUUAGCAUGGAAUAAUGAAAUAGGACGUUCGAACCUAUUUUGUUGGUUUCUAGGAUCAACGUAAUGAUUAAUAGGGAUAGUUGGGGGCAUUAGUAUUCAAUUGUCAGAGGUGAAAUUCUUGGAUUUAUUGAAGACUAACUACUGCGAAAGCAUUUGCCAAGGAUGUUUUCAUUAAUCAAGAACGAAAGUUAGGGGAUCGAAGACGAUCAGAUACCGUCGUAGUCUUAACCAUAAACUAUGCCGACUAGGGAUCGGAUGAAGUUAAUUUUUAAAUGACUCAUUCGGCGCCUUA
rnacentral:rRNA from 1 species